rnacentral:misc_RNA from 1 species
UUGAAUUCUGAGGAGAAAUGGGGGGAAGACGAAUGGGUGGAGAACUGUUGCUGGCUCCCUUGGGGGGGGGGCAUGUGCACGUCUUCCCUUUUGUUGACCCAUUCUCUCUCAAAUGCUACACCUUGUGCACCUAUUGUAGGUCCUCGACAGAGGAUCUAUGUUUUUCAUAUCACACCUUGUUGCAUGUCUAUAGAAUGUAUUGCAAACCGUCAACCCGACGGUCAAAUAAAAAUCAUA